UACGUAGGGACCAAGCGUUGUUCGGAUUUACUGGGCGUAAAGGGCGCGUAGGCGGCAAUUCAAGUCAUCUGUGAAAUCUCCGGGCUUAACCCGGAACGGUCAGGUGAUACUGUUUUGCUAGAGUGCGGAAGGGGCAAUCGGAAUUCUCGGUGUAGCGGUGAAAUGCGUAGAUAUCGAGAGGAACACCAGAGGUGAAGACGGGUUGCUGGGCCGACACUGACGCUGACAGCGCGAAAGCCAGGGGGGCAAACAGG
rnacentral:rRNA from 1 species